AGGACAUGGGCCUUAUUAUCUGUAACCCCAGUGUCAAAGUAUUUCUGUGUGUGUCUUGGGCAGAGGCAGGGAAACCUCCAGAGAAAACAUGGGCAAAGGUUUCUGUUUUGUCAUGUGAAAAAAAUCUGAUGAAUACCACAGAGUACUGCCUGACAGACCUGCAUGAGGUUCUGUGUCUUUACUUCACUGUGGUAACAGCUCUGUGUUUUGUCAUAAUAAUGAACUAG
rnacentral:lncRNA from 1 species